CGUGAUAAGAUGGGCAUAGAUAUUAGAUAAGAUAAUAGUCAGUUAAAGUUAACCAAUAUGGCUUUCAAGCGUACACACUAAAGUUCUUGACGUUGGAACAAUGCGUUUAGGUGAUUAGUGUGCUAGGCAAAACAAAGGCGCAGCUGACAGGUGAAUACAGUAAAAGAGGAGCUGAAGAAACAGACGGAGACGAGUGAGAGAACUAGUCACGAGGAGUCGACACACAGAGACAGGGGUACGAGAGAGGGUCGAGAGAUCGAGAAGAGAGGUCACUGAACAAACAUGGCCAAGAGAAAGAAAAGCACAGAGAUCAAGAUCGGUCAGCAUCAAGUUCGAGCAAGAAAAGGAAAUACGAAGAUGAUAUGUGAAACCAAGAACUGGAGUGUGCGUGCAUACUAUAGCAAGUAAUCAUACCCGCAUACGAUAUUCAGGACGCCGAUCUUCAGGGUAUGUCAUCAUCACAGCUUAUUGUUUUGUAUCGUCAAAGAGGUUAUUCUAUACGUGAAAUUCUUGGAGUUAUGGCCAUACGACAUGGAAAAAUAACAAGCGAACGAUCAAUUGUCCGAGUCUUGAGACGUUACCGCCUGACGUGAGGCCAAAGUCAACACAGUCUCGAAAAAAUUAUUCAAGGAAUAUUGCUUGAGUUUUCAGCUUCCGGUAAAAAUGCUGGUUACCGGAAAAUGCGUCAAAGACUCCUGAUUAAUCAUGGACUUGCAGCUACAUUUGAGAUGGUUCGUCUAAUUUUAGGACUCAUUGAUCCACAAGGUGUUGCAUUAAGGCAGGCGGGAAGGUUAAGGCGGAGAAUUUAUAUAAACAAUGGUCCCAAUUUUGCAAUCCAUUUAGAUGGCUGGGACAAAUUGAAGCCAUACGGUUUGUUAAUCCAUGGAGCUGUGGAUGGAUUUACCCGUAGAGUGUUGUGGCUGAAAUGUUGUGAUUCUAACAAACAGCCGAUGUACAUAUCUAGCUUUUAUUUAGACUACAUUAGGGAAAUUAAUGGCACUCCAGUUCGGGUUUACGGUGACCGCAGUACAGAAAAUUCUAUUGUCCGUGAUGUGCAAAUGGCAUUACGAUGGACAGACGCAGAUCAGUAACAGGGGAUCCUAAGCUUCGUCUAUGUUUCAUCUAACAGAAAUGUCAGAAUUGAGAGGUUUUGGCGAAGUCUUAGAGAAAUGUGUGGAAAUGUCUGGAUGAACCAUUUUAAAGAUAUGAGUGAUUUCGGAUUACUGGACACAUCUUAUAGUGUGCACUUAGAAUGCAUAAGAUACUGUUUUCUUUCUGUCAUUAGUAAAGACCUUUAUGAAGUUUGCAAUAUUUGGAAUACUCAUCGUGUUCGUCGAAAUAACCGAAUAUCAUGUCCUGCAGGAAAACCUGAGGUGUUGUUCUUUCAGCCAGAAGUAUAUGGUGUAAGAGAUUGUAAAAUACCACUGGUUGACAAUAGGGAAUUAAAUGAUGUGGAACGGGAGUAUUCUCAACGCCCUCCAGAACUUGGUGUAUCACAAGAGUUCCUGACAAUUGCAAGAGCAGCUGUCGGAGAUUUCAAUCUUCAAUACCCACCUAGAAACAGAGAAAAAGGAACAGAGCUUUUUGCUGCAAUAACCAUGUACAUUGAACGCCUCGUUUAACACGGAAAUGAAACAAAAAUGAACUUUAUGAUACUUCCUUACAAGCUGGCAAACUUGUGCAUUGGUUGACAAAAUGUCAAUUAAUAGAUAAUGUUGUGUCUGAAAG